UGCCAGACUCCUACGGGAGGCAGCAGUGGGGAAUAUUGCACAAUGGGGGAAACCCUGAUGCAGCGACGCCGCGUGAGUGAUGAAGUAUUUCGGUAUGUAAAGCUCUAUCAGCAGGGAAGAUAAUGACGGUACCUGACUAAGAAGCUCCGGCUAAAUACGUGCCAGCAGCCGCGGUAAUACGUAUGGAGCAAGCGUUAUCCGGAUUUACUGGGUGUAAAGGGAGCGCAGACGGCAGGGCAAGUCUGAUGUGAAAGUCCGGGGCUCAACCCCGGGACUGCAUUUGGAACUGUGCUGCUAGAGUGUCGGAGAGGCAGGCGGAAUUCCUAGUGUAGCGGUGAAAUGCGUAGAUAUUAGGAGGAACACCAGUGGCGAAGGCGGCCUGCUGGACGAUGACUGACGUUGAGGCUCGAAAGCGUGGGGAGCAAACAGGAUUAGAUACCCUAGUAC
rnacentral:rRNA from 1 species